CACAAAUAGCAACGCUAAGUUGAUUUCGCUACGAUCUACAGGUUUACUUAAAAUUAUUGAGUUCUUAUUAAAAUAUUAUUAAAAUUAUUACCAUCUAACGCUAAGUGAAGGUUUAAGGAGAAUUGUUUCGAAUUAAAGGUUGAUUAAACAAGAAACAUCGUAUAGAUCCAGCUUUCUACUUUUCUACUUCAACGUUCAUGAGUUGCACUACCAUAGGUUUACAGUCACUUAUUAUAAAGUAAUCUUCGAGGCAAAUAUUCACGUAGAAUUUAUAUAAAGAAGACAAAACGCGAUAAAUCCAGAUAAGACAUCGAUCGAGUAAGAUGUGGUACACCCGCUGAUAUUUGGCUGAAGUUUGGCAUAAAGUUUUAAGAUGGUCACUUUUUGUUGGUUUUGGUUUGAACCAUUGUUCUAAAAUAUUGCAUCGCGAGAAAAGGAUCGUAUUCACGUACAACAGUGCC